rnacentral:piRNA from 1 species
UGAUUUGGAGCUGUAUGAUGGAAUGACUGG